GAUGAACGCUGGCGGCGUGCUUAACACAUGCAAGUCGAACGGUGAAGCCAAGCUUGCUUGGUGGAUCAGUGGCGAAUGGGUGAGUAACACGUGAGCAACCUGCCCUGGACUCUGGGAUAAGCGCUGGAAACGGCGUCUAAUACUGGAUAUGAGCCUCUUCCGCAUGGUGGGGGUUGGAAAGAUUUUUUGGUCUGGGAUGGGCUCGCGGCCUAUCAGCUUGUUGGUGAGGUAAUGGCUCACCAAGGCGUCGACGGGUAGCCGGCCUGAGAGGGUGACCGGCCACACUGGGACUGAGACACGGCCCAGACUCCUACGGGAGGCAGCAGUGGGGAAUAUUGCACAAUGGGCGAAAGCCUGAUGCAGCAACGCCGCGUGAGGGAUGACGGCCUUCGGGUUGUAAACCUCUUUUAGCAGGGAAGAAGCGAAAGUGACGGUACCUGCAGAAAAAGCGCCGGCUAACUACGUG
rnacentral:rRNA from 1 species